CCCUUCCUUCCUUCUUUUUUUUUUUUUUUUUUUUUCUUGAGACGGAGUCUCUGUUGCCCAGGCUAGAGUGCAGGGGCACGAUCUCAGCUCACUGCAAACUCUGCCUCCCAGGUUCAAGCGAUUAUCCUGCCUCAUCCUCCCGAGUAGUUGGGACUGCAGUGAACACCAUCAAGCCCAGUUAACAUCUUCCCUUCUUUCUGAGUGUCUGCUGAGAGCUCAAGCAGCCUGAUGAACCUCCUCCCCAUGGGCUGCAAAAGAAAGGGUGGACCCGGCUUAUCAGUAGCACGAGGCCUGCUUCCCCAGUCAUUGGCACCGUUAAUGCCCACCUGGUGGGAAAGAGCCUGCAGGGCAUGGGCCUCGUGACAGCCUCCCUCGAGUCAGAAGGCCCUGAGCAGACUGAUCUUCGUCUCCUCACAAGACAGGUCACUCCCCUCCCAAGCUUCCAAGCCUUUACCGGAGUUGUUUUCUUGUCCCUUUAGUCUGUUGGUAUUGAAGUCUGGGCGGCCUGACAGCCCUGGCAGGCAGCCCAGAGGCCAGCGCCCCAGGCAGACACUCUCUCUGCCUUAUUAUGCAGCUUCGAGGCCUCGCUGCGAUUGGGUGGCAUUUGGGAGCACAAAAGAGAAGACUCAGGCAUUCAGAAGGCCCUUUCAGCAAAGGGCGCCACAGGCCUGCUGGCUGGAGCGUCUCCUGAGGAGCAGCCCUUCUCUGUCUCAGCCCGUAUUUAAGAGGCCUCCUUCCAGAGGCAGGGGAUGGAGGAGAAAACCAGUCCAAGGUCUUCCGUGCCCCAGAGACUCAGAUUCAUGUCUUCGGAUGGGUUUUCCAACGUGCCAGGAUUAAGUAAGGUGAGGGGUGUUUCUAGCAACGAUUCUCUCAGCUCCUGCAUAAUGAUACUACGUUUUUAAAAAACCUCUGAGGACAUGUCUGUGGCUUUGUUGCCUUUUUGAAGCAUAGCUGACUACAGAUUGUGGCAGGAGAAUGGAGGGGAGGGGAGGAGAACAGGGCAGGGGGGAGGCCGCAGUGUCUGAAAAGAAUUCUGUCACGGAUGUAGAAAGAGCCGUGCCCGAGGACAUGUAAGAGCAAGAUGGCUGUGAAUGUGGACUUAGCAUCAGGCCGACCUGGGGUGAGUCCUGACUCCCUCAUUUAGGAGCUGGGCAACUUCAGGCAAGUUACUUACCCUUUCUGUGCUUCAUCUCAUCUGUAAAGUGACAGUGAGCUUGUCAGCCUCAUAGGACUGAUGGUUAUAAAUGAGACAAUGUAGGAAACACAUUAGUAUAUAAUUAGUUGUUACCUCCUUAUCACAUAUGUAAGAUGGGAGAUGUGAUGCUUCCUGAUGGAACUCUCACCCCUGGAAUGAAAAGAGGGCCGUGUCUGAGUAAACCCAAGGGCUCCCUUUUCAGAUCUGCCUUUCUCGUUGGCUGCUCUGGACUUCCCGGGGCCUCUCUGGUGUCCCUUAAUUUCCCUUUCCCUCCACGUCCAAUAUCAAAACCUUCCAAUAUGUCUAUAAGCCAGCAUAGAUGAACAGGAGGCCUCGGAGGAUGCUGGGCGUGGACACUGGUGCUCAGGUCGGGAGCAAGAAGGGGUGGUGGGUACCGUCAAACCCCACUGCCUUGUGAGAGUGGAGCAUGCUGGCUGAGGAGC
rnacentral:lncRNA from 13 species